UACAGAGGGGGCAAGCGUUGUCCGGAAUUACUGGGCGUACAGCGCGCGCAGGCGGUUGCCGACGUGCCGUGUGACAAGCGGGGGCUCAACCCCCGAGGGCCACGGUAAACGGGGCGACUGGAGGACGGGAGAGGGAUGUGGAAUGCCCGGUGGAGCGGUGAAAUGCAUUGAGAUCGGAAAGAACACCAACGGCGAAAGCACUCUGCUGGGCCGACACUGACACUGAGAGACGAAAGCUAGGGGAGCAAAUGGG
rnacentral:rRNA from 1 species